GCUGAAUUCAUUUAAAAUUCCUUUCCUUUCUUUUUAUUUUUGUAAUGUAGCUCCAUCUGAGGUAAAUCAGCUAUAAAGCCAAGGGAACUAUACUGGCAUUCCACCUUGACUAAUCACUGAUAGUGAAGUAUUUUGAACAGUCUUUUUCUAUUCCAGUGUAUUCUUCUGUUUAAUAAGAUUAGUCCUUUGCUAGUAAGAGUUUUGUACAGUGUACUGCAAUUUAUUUACUUGUAUCAGUGCAGCAUGAAAACAUUCCAGAGACCAGAAGAGAUGAAUUGUGUAAUAGCACCUGCUUUCUGCUGGCUGGAAGGAAUGAAUAUGCUGGUUGUAAAAUGGAUAUUCUGUUUUCUAGAAGGAAAUUUAAAGUGGAUAUUAGAAGGAUAGACCAGCAUAGAAAAGAAAGAGAUACAGAGGACUCGGGCACAGCUGUCCAGAGGAGCUGUGGGUGCCCUAUCCCUUGAGGUAUUCAAUGCCAGGUGGCAUGGGGCACUGGGCAGCCUGAGCUGGUGGGUGGCAAGCAGCCCACAGCAGGGGGUUGGGACUAGGUAAUCUCUAAACCUAAACUGGGUAAAUCUCCAACCUAAGCCAUUCUAUGAUUCUAUUACUUUUAAGGGAAACAAGAGAUAUUGCAUCAAGCAGGCCCUGGGAGUGACCCAGCAUGGCAGCAUCUUAAAGCCAAGUAGGCAAGGUCUGUGAAGGGAACUGUCAAAAUACUGCAUCCCAGCGCCAUGAGUCAAGAUACCUACCCCAUCACCAAAUCUCUGGUAGUGAGCCCAACACCUGAAUUCUCAGUGUGAUGUAUGAAUCGUAUUGCACGAAUGCUAGACUGGGAAAUAAGAGUGGUACAGACCCUAAGCCACUGCAGGGCAUGUGACAGGGAGGAGGAAAAAGUUAAAUUCACCUUUAUCUAUCGAUCUUUUCCCAGAGUUAAUGCUUCAGUUAUGACUAUAGUUUAUCAUCAUCUUCUCAAAACAGUGGAAGACUUUGUGUCCCAUCACUCACUAAGUGGAACAAUGCCACAGUGACAGCACUUCAGCUGGGGAAGGCUGGUGUAUAUAAAUUCUGUUUAUUUAUUUUCCAUAGUCAAAAGUCAAAUGUAAGUUUCUGCUUUUGCUUAGUUUCUCAAUUUACAAAGCAGUCUUUCAUUUGGCUCACAAGAAAAACCUGUUUCUGUGCGCUUGCAUAUUGCUUAAAUAUGCCAUUUUGCAUAUAUAGAUUCCAUUAUGCUUAAAUGAGAAGGAAAUACAUUGUCUCACUGUUCCUUGAUCUCCCUGUGCCAACAGGAGACGAUGGAAGUUCAGUCAGACCCCCGGUUGCUGUUGCUGGGAUACGGUCAGCAGGAAAACGCAGUAAAAGGAGAGGCUGGGUCUGAAGACUGGAGGACUAUCAAACGUGUGCAGAAAUGACCCUUGUCUUGUGCCUGGAUGUUCAGCCAGUGAGGACCUGAGCAAGAAGGGACAGUACUUGCAUAAAAAAUAUUACUUUGUUUUGGCAUUCAGCUUUAUCUGAACUAACAGUAGAUGAACGUAACCACUGCCCAGUCCCAGCUGUGUCAUUGGUCUUUUGGUGAUGGCAGUCAGCUGCCUCCCUCUACACCAGCAGAAGAGGAUUACACUUGGAGCUCUGUGACUCGUUCUUCCUUGCUUCUAAAUUUCCUCCAUGGAAAAUGAAAGUAAUGGAAAUAAAAAGCUUUUUUGCACUUGAAAAUCCAGUGUAAUUCCUGCUCCCAAGUGUUCCCGAAUAUUCCCGAGUGCCAUCUGCUGGCACCUCCUCGUAACGCUCAUAACAGCUCUCCAUCCCGCGCAGUCCCUAAGGGCUGCACAGAGCUGCCUUUGUGGACACACAUGCCGCAGCCCACAGUGAGCUUGGUUGCCCCAUCACUGAGUCAGAAGCAGGGUGUAUAAAU
ensembl:lncRNA